AUCCAGAUGACGAGCCCCAAAUAGGACGAAACGUGCCUCCUAGAU
rnacentral:hammerhead_ribozyme from 1 species